AAACUAAGCUGUGCUUUCAUAAAGCCCUGUGAACUGAAGCUAGACAACUUAAACUUCAGAAGAAAAUAAUGGUAACCUAUUUACAUACAUAAGCCACUUUCAUACCUGCCUACUGAUGGAUCGACUUCACAGUAAUGUGGCCUAUAUUGAUUUUCCAAGAUUGUUCUUUUGUCUGUUGUUGUUUUUCUCCCUUCUCCCCCUAUUUUCUCUUCAUAGGACAUGAGACUUAACAACCUGCUAAAAAUGAGCUUUCCUAACAACUUGGGACCUACCUGUCUAGGAAUAAACCAUUAUAGCCAUGACAGAUCAGAUGAAACCUGAGAUCAGAGACUCAUUUUCUUCUAAAAUGCUUUCUCCAAAAGAUUUUAAAAAAGAAAAGGGGGAGUAUGUCAAAGGAAAAUCAGUCUUGGGGCCUCCAAAUCACUGAGCUAAAGGGAAAAGUCAAACUGGGAACUGUUUAGGACCAACUUGCCUCCCAUUCUAUUCAAAGACACCCCUCUGCUUACUGAGAUAAAUGCAUAUCUGAUUACCUCCUUUGGAGAGGCUAAUCAGAAACUCAAAAGAAUGCAACCGUUUGUCUCUUAUCUACCUAUGACCUAGAAGCCCCCUCUCUGCUUCGAGUUGUCCUGCCUCUGCUUCAAGUUGUCCUGACUUCCUGGACCAAACCAAUUUUCAUCCUACAUAUGUUGACUGAUGUUUCAUGUCUCCCUAAAAUGUAUAAAACCAAACUGUGCUCUGACCAUAACUCCUCAGAACUUGCUAAGACUGUGUCAUGGGCACACAACCUCAACUUUGGCAAGAUAAACUUUCUAAAUUAGCUGAGACCUGUCUCAGAUAUUUGGGGUUCAUGAAGGCUACUAUGAACAUCUUUACACACACAAACUAGAAAAUCUAUAAGAAGUGAAUACAUUCCUGAAAAUAUACAACCCUCCUAGAUUAAUUCAGGAAGAAAUAGAAACCCUGAAAAGACAAAUAACAAGCAGCAAGAUUGAAUAAGUAUUAAAAAAUGCCAACAAAAAUGUCCAGGACUAGAUGGAUUUACAGCUGAAUUCCACCAGACAUUCAAAGAAGAAUUGGUACCAAUCCUACUGAAACUAUUCCAAAUGAUAGAGAAAGAGGGAAUCUUCCCUACAUCAUUCGAUGAGGCCAGCAUCACCCUAAUACCAAGACCAGCAAAGGACAUGUCAAAAAAAGAAAACUACAGACCGAUAUUCCUGAUGAACACAGAUGCAAAAAUCCUCAACAAAAUACUAGUGAACUAAAUCCAACAGCAUAUCACAAAGAUAAUGCAUCAUGAUCAAGUGGUUUCAUACCAGGAAUGCAGGAAUGGUUUAACAUAUGCAAGUCAAGUCAAUAAGUGUGAUAUAUUACAUAAACAGAAUUAAAAACAAAAACCAUAUGAUCAUCUCAAUAGAUGCAGAAAAAUAAUUUGAUAAAAUCUAGCAUGACUUUUUGAAAAAAACCCUCAACAAAACAGGCAUAGAAGGGACUUACUUUAAAGUAAUAAAAGCCAUAUCUGACAAACCCACAGCCAAUGUCACACUAAACUGGGAAAAGUUGAAAGCAUUCUCCCUGAGAACAGGAACAAGACAAGGAUGCUGACUUUCACCACUUCUAUUCAACUUAGUACUGGAAGUCCUAACCAGAGCAAUCAGACAAGAGAAAGAAAUGAAAGGAAUCCAAAUCAGAAAAAAGGAUGUCAAACCAUCGCUGUUCACAGAUUAUAUGAUUGUAUAGCUAGAAAACCCUAAAGACUCAUCCAAAAAGCUCCUAGAUCCAAUAAACAAAUUCAGUAAAGUCUCAGGAUACAAAAUCAAUGUACAAAAAUCAGUAACACUGGAAUACACCAAAAAUGACCAAGCUGAGAAUCAAAUCAAGAACAACAGCUGCAAUAAAAAGAAAACCUUAGGAAUACACUUAACUAAGGAGGUGAAAGAUCUCUACCAAAAAAACCCUACAAAACACUGCUGAAAGAAAGAUAAGUGAAAUAAACAAAUGGAAAUAAGUUCCAUGGCCAUAGAUGGGAAGAAUCAACAUUGUGAAAAUGACUGUACUGCUCAAAGCAAUCUACAGAUUCAAUGCAAUUCCCAUCAAAAUACCAUAAUUCUUCACAGAACUAGAAAAAACAAUCCUAAAUUCAUAUGGAAGCAAAAAAGAUCCCACAUAGCCAAAGAAAUACUAAGCUGAAAGUACAAAUAUAAAGGCUUCACAUUACCCAACUUCAAGUUAUACUACAAGGUUACAGUUAUCAAAACCGCGGGGUACUGGUAUAAAAAUAGGCACAUAGACCAAUGGAACAGAAAUAGAGAACCUAGAAAUAAAGCCAAAUACUUGGAGCCAACUGAUCUUUGACAAGGCAUACAAAAACAUACAUUGGGAAAAGGACACCCUAUUCAAUAAAUGGUGCUGGGAAAACUGGCAAGCCACAUGUAGAGGAAUAAAACUGGAUCUCCAUCUGUCACCUUAUACAAAAAUCAACUCAAGAUGAAUCAAAGAGUUAAAUCUAAGAUCUGAAAUCAUAAAAAUUCUAGAAGAUAACAUCAAAAAUACUCUUCUGGACAUUGGCUUAGGCAAAGAAUUCAUAAUUAAGUACCCAAAAGCAAAUGCAACAAAACAAAAAUAAAUUGCUUCUUCAUAGCAAAAGAAAUUACAGAGUAAACAGACAACCCACAGAGCGGGAGAAAAUAUUCACAAACUAUGCAUCCAACAAAGGUCUAGAAUCCAGAACCUACAAGGAACUCAAAUCAGCAAGAAAAAAACAAAUAAUCCCAUGAAAAAGUGGGCAAAGGUCAUGAACAGACACUUCUCAAAAGAAGAUAUACAAAUGGCCAACAAACACAUGAAAAACUGUUCAACAUCACUAAUUCUCAUGGAAAUGCAAAUCAAAACCACAGUGAGACACCAGCUUACUCCUGCAAGAAUGGCCAUAAUUAAAAUGUCAAAGAACAAUAGAUGUUGGUGUGGAUGUGGUGAAAGGAAACACUUUUACACUGCUGAUGGGAAUAUAAAUUAGUACAACCACUACAGAAAACAGUAUGUGGAUUCCUUAAAGAACUAAAAGUAGAUCUACCAUUUAGUCCAGCAAUCCUGCUACUGGGUAUCUAGGAAAGGAAAAUAAGUCAUUACAUAAAAAAGACAGCUACAUGCAUAUAUUUAUUACAGCACAAUUCGCAAUGGCAAAGAUAUGGAAGCAACAUAAGCGCCCAUCAAUUAAUCAAUGGGGAGACUGUGGCUCAAUGAGGUCAAACAAUUUGCAGUCAGGGAGUAGGGAUGCUUUGAAUAUGGCCAUCAUCUCACUGGCUCACUGUGAAAAAAAAAGUCAAAGAAAAACUAAGGCCUUCCUUUCCUAUCACCCAUCAAUGUU
rnacentral:lncRNA from 1 species